rnacentral:rRNA from 1 species
CCGCGGUAAUUCCAGCUCCAAUAGCGUAUAUUAAAGUUGCUGCAGUUAAAAAGCUCGUAGUUGGAUCUCGGUAUCAUUGUUGCCUGUCAAUACUUGGGCAGUUGGUCAGAUGCAUGGGCUCUGCCUGUGCUUUGGCUGUCUGUUCCGAGCUGGCAUGGUGGCGGUGUCACCUUUCAGCCAUGUCUGUGGUGAAAUACCCGCAGGUGUAGGCGAGUGUCGGGCGGUGCCUUGCAACAGUGGGGCUCGUCGGCUCGUUUGCAUGCCUUUGGAUGCCCUUUAAAAGGUGUCUGCAGGCGGAUGGCACGUUUACUUUGAACAAAUUUGAGUGCUCAAACCAGGCCGCUGUUGCCUGAAAAGUUUUGCAUGGAAUAAUGGAAUAGGACUUCGGUUCUAUUUCGUUGGUUUUCGGAUCCGAAGUAAUGAUCAAAAGAGACAGGCGGNGACGUUNGUAUGGCUGNNCUAGAGGUGAAAUUNAUGGACCGUANCCAGACAAACUAAAGCNAAAGCAUUCNNNAAGCAUGUNNUNAUUGCCAUGANCNAAAGNANAGGCUCNA